GAGCUGGAAGGGGUUUGAGAGUUCAUUUAAGAACUCAUUUAUUCACACUUUUUUUUUUUAGAUAUGGAAACUGAGAACCAGCGAAAGGAAAUGCUAUGGCCAGUUCCAUAGGCUAGGGUUCCAUGUGAGACUACUCUGAAAUAUGUAGCCCUGGAGAGACUCAGGUUAAUUCCACUGUGGCCCAAGAGCUUGCUCUGUGUGAUUGUAUCCUCUGAAAUUUGUUGAGACUUUAUGGACCAGUGCAAAAUCUAUUUUACAUAAAAGAACAGCUGGAUUCCCGGGGCAAUCAGAAGAAUCAUGGGACUUUUGAAU